AUUGAACGCUGGCGGCAGGCCUAACACAUGCAAGUCGGACGGUAGCACAGGGGAGCUUGCUCCUCGGGUGACGAGUGGCGGACGGGUGAGUAAUGUCUGGGGAUCUGCCCGAUAGAGGGGGAUAACCACUGGAAACGGUGGCUAAUACCGCAUAAUGUCGCAAGACCAAAGAGGGGGACCUUCGGGCCUCUUGCCAUCGGAUGUGCCCAGAUGGGAUUAGCUAGUAGGUGGGGUAACGGCUCGCCUAGGCGACGGUCCCUAGCUGGUCUGAGGGGAUGACCAGCCACACUGGAACUGAGACACGGUCCAGACUCCUACGGGAGGCAGCAGUGGGGAAUAUUGCACAAUGGGCGCAAGCCUGAUGCAGCCAUGCCGCGUGUAUGAAGAAGGCCUUCGGGUUGUAAAGUACUUUCAGCGGGGAGGAAGGGAGUAAAGUUAAUACCUUUGCUCAUUGACGUUACCCGCAGAAGAAGCACCGGCUAACUCCGUGCCAGCCGCCGCAGUAA
rnacentral:rRNA from 1 species